CCUACGGGAGGCAGCAGUGAGGAAUAUUGGUCAAUGGACGAGAGUCUGAACCAGCCAAGUAGCGUGAAGGAUGACUGCCCUCUGGGUUGUAAACUUCUUUUAUAUGGGAAUAAAAUGUUCCACGUGUGGGAUUUUGUAUGUACCAUAUGAAUAAGGAUCGGCUAACUCCGUGCCAGCAGCCGCGGUAAUACGGAGGAUCCGAGCGUUAUCCGGAUUUAUUGGGUUUAAAGGGAGCGUAGGUGGAUUGUUAAGUCAGGUGUGAAAGUUUGCGGCUCAACCGUAAAAUUGCAGUUGAAACUGGCAGGCUUGAGUGCAGUAGAGGUGAGUGGAAUUCGUGGUGUAGCGGUGAAAUGCUUAGAUAUCACGAAGAACUCCGAUUGCGAAGGCAGCUCACUGGACUGCAACUGACACUGAGGCUCGAAAGUGUGGGUAUCAAACAGGAUUAGAUACCCUGGUAGUC
rnacentral:rRNA from 1 species